GCGUGAUACCGGGUUGCGGACGGCUUCGGUGGGGGGGCAGAAAGGGGGCUCAAUGUUCAAUAUACCUGUAAUUGUCCUGUUUCUUUACCGUUGCUUUAAAUGUAGACGAUUUUUGUGUCUACACAGUAGGCUGAGAUGAAAAGCAUUUUAAUUGCUGAUGUUUGUUAAGAAUAUGAGAUAAUCUUUCACUCUUUUCUCUGUCUAUCACUUCUCUCCCUCUAAUGCAGAAUAUCGGAUUCCUGUCAGGUGGAAGCAUCUUUUCAGCCUCAAACUUGUCAUAGCAGCUGUUACGGUCGGACACAAACAAAGAGAAACCUUAACCAUAACUAUCGCACAUACCUGAAAUCCUACAGUUCAUCAUCUGAUGAGCUGACUGUCAAUUCCGUUAAAAGAAAGUCCAGAUGGAUGCAAAGAACAUAAAGAAACCCAGGCGAGCUGAGUCUAACCAUUAACCCUCGCUACCUCUCAACGAGACCCGAAAGUCCAUGGAGCAAGAGAGAAUUGUCCUCUUGUCUGAGGUAAAGAAAAAGAACAAUUCGGGAGAAGACAAACCUGCUGCCAACAGUACAAGAGGAUACUGAUAUCGCAACAAAGAGGGAGAUUGCACUCAAAUUUCUCAUUCUUAACAUCGGAGAAUCAGUGGAGGACCUCAUCAAAGAUUUCCUGGCGUCGGAGAAGGAAGAAGCUGAAAUGGUUCUCCAGCAGGAAACCAUGGCAGUCUUUGUCAUCAGUGAUGCACAAGCCUUACCUCAAGACAUUGGCAUCUUACUUGAGGGACAGGUUCAGAGCGAGUUGCCUUCUGUGCAAGUGCUGUUGCCAUUCUAAUGGGCCUCCUUUAUGCUCUCAAUCUGGAUUAUCCCAAAACUUUGAAACUGACAUUUGAAUAUAUCCAGAAAGUCCUCAUGGAGCUGGACCCGAAAGGCACGACCAACAAAGUCAAGAGACUGUAUGACCAGCUCUACAAUAGAGCUUAGUUCAGAUUUACACAAACAUCCCAGUUGACCAAGUAAAUGAUAUCAUGUUUGAGUGGCUGCCUGUUUUGGAAUUAUAAAUACUGAGUUCAGUAUUUCAGUAGUAGAAAUUGUAAAGUAUAAAAAAACAUGCAAAUUGUAUGUGAAAUUACUGUGGAAACAGAUUGAACACUGCACUGCAAUGUGUAUAUAUUUUUUGUAAUAAUAUACUAUUUUGUAAUAAUAUCCAUAUUAUGUUGGAAUGCCAGCUCUAAGUUACAGUUUAAGUUACAAAUCUAACCUUGAUAAAUGGAUCUGUGGAAAUAAUGCCUGAUGUGACGGAGGCUAAUGAAUAUUGAUAUAAUGACAAUUAUUGAUGUAGUCCAUAUGUCCAUAUUUUUUAAUUUAAUAUCUUUUUGAUUUGAUAAAAUUAAUAAUUUCUAAUGCAUAUUGUUUCUUAAAUGAGAAACAAUUGUUUUAUUCGAUUUUUAUCUUUUAAAUUGGAUACAACUAAUUAUAUCGGAUGCAUAUGACUUAAAUGAGAAAAUUGUUUGAUUACAUUUUUUUCUUUUUGAUUGGAUAAAACUAAUUAUUUCUGAUAGAUAUUUCUUAAAUGAGAAACAAUUGUUGGAGUAAAUUAAUAUUUUUUUAUUAAGGAUUUAACAUACAAUUCAAAUGUAUUAACCUCAUUCAAAGAAUAAAAUUAUACUUGGUUCCAA